GACGGAGGAUGCAAGCGUUAUCCGGAAUGAUUGGGCGUAAAGCGUCCGCAGGUGGCAGUUCAAGUCUGCUGUCAAAGACUGGGGCUUAACUUCGGAAAGGCAGUGGAAACUGAACAGCUAGAGUAUGGUAGGGGCAGAGGGAAUUCCUGGUGUAGCGGUGAAAUGCGUAGAGAUCGGGAAGAACAUCGGUGGCGAAGGCGCUCUGCUGGACCAUAACUGACACUCAGGGACGAAAGCUAGGGGAGCGAACAGG
rnacentral:rRNA from 1 species